GCAAACUUGGUCAUUUAGAGGAAGUAAAAGUCGUAACAAGGUUUCCGUAGGUGAACCUGCGGAAGGAUCAUUAAAAUUGGCUGGGGUUGCUCUGGUGUGCUGGUGUUACCAGCGCGCUAGGGUUGCCCUCCAACCAUAUCCGUGCCUUGGUGGAUUGUCUGUUUCCUCGGUGGGCUUGCCUGCCAAUGGGGACCAACUCAAACCUUUGUCGUUGUAGUUGUACUGUCAGUUAAACAAACAUUUUAAAACUUUCAACAACGGAUCUCUUGGUUCUGGCAUCGAUGAAGAACGCAGC
rnacentral:misc_RNA from 1 species